CAAAUUCCUAACCGGUGUGUACGCGUUCAUGUUUUGUAAGGCUAAUUUUUUUAAAAAGUCUUUUUUUUCAACUUCUAUCGCAGACUCAAAAUAAUUACCUGCCACUUUAACAACCGUUUCUCUUAUACUAAAAUGCAAUACCAAAUGAUGAAACUGACGAACGUCCCACGUUAAGUGCUCAAGUAUUUUUGGAAAAAAUAUUUGAUGGUAGAAAAUUUCCCCACAAAACCAUUCCAACAUGCGAUAGUGAAGACCUUCUUUUAAUGAAUGAAUUCGCUAGAACGAAGGAUCCACAAAUAGAAAAAUUUGAAACAAAAAGAGAUGCAUACGUUGCAGAAUUAAUAGCAAGUCCAGAAUUCGAUGGUUUGAGGAAAAGAUUUGCAAAUAAAUUUCAGCUUGACUUGGACGUGGUUGACUACAGUAAUGUUACGAGCCGAUGAAGAUUAUUGGGCUUUGUUUACUGCCAGUGACAAUAUUUACAACGCACAACUUGCUUGCGGUAUGAUAGAGCAUAUUGCAUGUUUUUCGAAG